rnacentral:rRNA from 1 species
CUCCUACGGGAGGCAGCAGUGAGGAAUAUUGGUCAAUGGGCGCAGGCCUGAACCAGCCAAGUAGCGUGAAGGAUGACUGCCCUAUGGGUUGUAAACUUCUUUUAUAUGGGAAUAAAGUUUUCCACGUGUGGAAUUUUGUAUGUACCAUAUGAAUAAGGAUCGGCUAACUCCGUGCCAGCAGCCGCGGUAAUACGGAGGAUCCGAGCGUUAUCCGGAUUUAUUGGGUUUAAAGGGAGCGUAGGUGGACAGUUAAGUCAGUUGUGAAAGUUUGCGGCUCAACCGUAAAAUUGCAGUUGAUACUGGCUGUCUUGAGUACAGUAGAGGUGGGCGGAAUUCGUGGUGUAGCGGUGAAAUGCUUAGAUAUCACGAAGAACUCCGAUUGCGAAGGCAGCUCACUGGACUGCAACUGACACUGAUGCUCGAAAGUGUGGGUAUCAAACAGGAUUAGAUACCCUGGUAGUCCACACAGUAAACGAUGAAUACUCGCUGUUUGCGAUAUACAGCAAGCGGCCAAGCGAAAGCGUUAAGUAUUCCACCUGGGGAGUACGCCGGCAACGGUGAAACUCAAAGGAAUUGACGGGGGCCCGCACAAGCGGAGGAACAUGUGGUUUAAUUCGAUGAUACGCGAGGAACCUUACCCGGGCUUAAAUUGCAGAUGAAUUACGGUGAAAGCCGUAAGCCGCAAGGCAUCUGUGAAGGUGCUGCAUGGUUGUCGUCAGCUCGUGCCGUGAGGUGUCGGCUUAAGUGCCAUAACGAGCGCAACCCUUGUUGUCAGUUACUAACAGGUUCCGCUGAGGACUCUGACAAGACUGCCAUCGUAAGAUGUGAGGAAGGUGGGGAUGACGUCAAAUCAGCACGGCCCUUACGUCCGGGGCUACACACGUGUUACAAUGGGGGGGUACAGAGGGCCGCUACCACGCGAGUGGAUGCCAAUCCCAAAAACCUCUCUCAGUUCGGACUGGAGUCUGCAACCCGACUCCACGAAGCUGGAUUCGCUAGUAAUCGCGCAUCAGCCACGGCGCGGUGAAUACGUUCCCGGGCCUUGUACACACCGC